rnacentral:rRNA from 1 species
UACGUAGGAUGCAAGCGUUGUCCGGAAUUAUUGGGCGUAAAGAGCGCGCAGGCGGUCUAUCAAGUCAGAUGUGAAAUAUCCGGGCUUAACACGGAGGGGUCAUUUGAAACUGGUAGACUAGAGUACAGCAGAGGAUAGCGGAAUUCCCGGUGUAGUGGUGAAAUGCGUAGAUAUCGGGAGGAACACCGGUGGCGAAGGCGGCUUUCUGGACACUUACUGACGCUGAGACGCGAAAGCGUGGGGAGCAAACAGG